rnacentral:rRNA from 1 species
UUUUGCCUACGGGAGGCAGCAGUGAGGAAUAUUGGUCAAUGGCCGAGAGGCUGAACCAGCCAAGUCGCGUGAGGGAAGACGGCCCUACGGGUUGUAAACCUCUUUUGUCGGGGAGCAAAGCGAGUCACGUGUGACUCAUUGAGAGUACCCGAAGAAAAAGCAUCGGCUAACUCCGUGCCAGCAGCCGCGGUAAUACGGAGGAUGCGAGCGUUAUCCGGAUUUAUUGGGUUUAAAGGGUGCGCAGGCGGAGGUGCAAGUCAGCGGUCAAAUUGCGGGGCGCAACCCCGUACUGCCGUGGAAACGGG